UAACUAAGGCUACCUUGUGUGCACUCUUC
rnacentral:piRNA from 1 species